rnacentral:rRNA from 1 species
AUUGAACGCUGGCGGCAGGCCUAACACAUGCAAGUCGAACGAGUGGCGGACGGGUGAGUAAUGUCUGGGAAACUGCCUGAUGGAGGGGGAUAACUACUGGAAACGGUAGCUAAUACCGCAUACCAUCGGAUGUGCCCAGAUGGGAUUAGCUAGUAGGGGGGGUAACGGCUCACCUAGGCGACGAUCCCUAGCUGGUCUGAGAGGAUGACCGGCCAAACUGGAACGGGGACACGGUCCAGACCCCUACGGGAGGAAGCAGUGGGGAAUAUUGCAAAAUGGGCGCAAGCCUGAUGCAGCAAGGCCGCGUGUAUGAAGAAGGCCUUCGGGUUGUAAAGUACUUUCAGCGGGGAGGCGUUACCCGCAGAGAAAGCACCGGCUAACUCCGUGCCAGCAGCCGCGGUAAUUC